AGAUCUCUUGUGUGAAAUAUUUAGGUAAUGACUAUCAUAAAAGAGACCACUUUAGAGUGCAAUAAUGUGCUCUGAAAGAGUCUUCUGUGUCAGUUAGGAAUAAAAAAAUCAUUAUACUUGGCACUGUAUUUAUUGUGCCCAAUACUGAGUGAGUUGUAGCUGAGUAAACCUGAAAUGUAUUUGUGCUUCUAGUGUACCUGCCAUCCUGCCCACAAACUUGCACCAUCACUGUGAUUGUCCCCAGCAUAUUUUUAAAGGUUUCUCUCUCCCUUCCUACCUUUCACUCAUUAUUUUAUUUUAUUUUUUUUUUUACUUUUUAACAUUAUGAAUACAUAAAAAUAGGAUGAACUGAUGAAAAACAGCUGAGAUAGGAGAUAAAGAACAAGUCUAUUACUUGUUACUUUUGUAAAUACUACCUACGGCCACCUAUAGUUCUCUUUGCCUUCUUUCUUUUGACAUAUUCCCAGAUUUAUUACUGUUUGAAAUACCAGAAUGCAUAGAAGUGAGUGAUGUUAGGAAAAAUCCACUACAGCUUUGAGACAUUUGUUUUCCAGAGUUUGCUGUUCAUUACAGGUAUGUACCUGCAGUUAAGGUUUGCUAAAAAUACCAUAGUUCAUUACUACUAUGGCUAAUUAGCCUUGAUAAUUCUGAAAAUGCGUUCUAUUUAUGUUUACUUUGAGCACACAAGAAUGCAUGGCAAGGUUUGAUUGAACACUGAAGGAAAAAGGCAGUCUUCACCUUGAAGAGUUUACCAGCUGAAAAUACAUGGUGAGGGUGUGUACAUGGAAAUGUAGGGCUUACCACACAGGAGUAGUCAGGCUGAGAAGGGUUGAGUCACAGGAAAGGAAUGAGCAAUGGCCUGUCAGGAAACACCCUGUGAGUUCCAAACAUUCUUAUUUUUGUUUGAUAGGGGUUGGGUAGGUGGAGAUCAGGACAAAGCAAAGGCAUGGAGAGAAAGGCAAGGACGUUUCAAGAUAUGGAGAGCAACCACCUUUACCCUUACCUUGAGGACCUGAGAAAAGAUGCAGAUGAAAGUCUCUUCACUGUUUGGUGUCUGAACAGGAGAGCACCAGCUGCACUGGAGGAAAAACUCCUUUGUCACAUGGCCAGUAUCCAGAGGGACUUGGACAAGCUUGAGAAGUAG
rnacentral:lncRNA from 1 species